rnacentral:rRNA from 1 species
AUUGAACUCUGGCGGCAGGCUUAACACAUGCAAGUCGAACGAGUGGCGGACGGGUGAGUAAUGCUUGGGAAUCUGGCUUAUGGAGGGGGAUAACGACGGGAAACUGUCGCUAAUACCGCGUACCAUAGGAUGAGCCCAAGUGGGAUUAGGUAGUUGGUGGGGUAAUGGCCUACCAAGCCGACGAUCCCUUGCUGGUCUGAGAGGAUGAACGGCCCCCGUGGGAAUGGGACACGGCCCAGACUCCUUCGGGAGGCAGCAGGGGGGAAUCUUCCGCAAUGGACGAAAGUCUGACGGAGAAACGCCGCGUGAGUUAUGACGGCCUUCGGGUUGUAAAGCUCUGUUAAUCGGGAGACGGUACCGGAAUAGAAAGCCACGGCUAACUACGUGCCAGCAGCCGCGGUAAUUC